ensembl:misc_RNA Metazoa_SRP Metazoan signal recognition particle RNA
GCUGAGCACGGUGGUGCAUGUCCGUAGUCCCAGCUACUCAGGAGGCUGAGGUGGGAGGAUCGCUUGAGCCCAGGAGUUCUGGGUUGUAGUGCGCUAUUCCAUUUGGGUGUCGCACUAAGUUCGGCAUCAAUAUGGUGACCUCCUGGGAGCAGGAGACCACCACGUUGCCUAAGGAGGGGUGAACCAGCCCAGGUUCGAAAUGCAGCAGGUCAAAAUUCCUGUGCUGAUCACUAGUGGGGUCUCACCUGUUAAUAGCCACUGCACUCCAGCCUGGGCUAUGUAGUGAGACCCUGUGUCAA